GCGCUCUCCAGAGGGGGGCGGGAAAGGGAGAGUUGGGACGAACCAUUGCCAACGCCGGGAAGAGGGGGGCAGCGCCUCCUCGCGCGAGGAAAAGCCGGGCGCUGCCGAGGAGGAGACUUAGCGCCCCCCUCCUCCUGCCAGGGGAAUGGGACGACCCGUUUCUGCGGCCUCAGCCGGCGCUCGCCUGAGGGAAGCCAAACAGAUGCGGCUUAGCAACCGAAGAGGUUGGGAGCGUGAAAGGAGGGGGGGGGGGGGGGGUAGAGAGAGAAGAGCGAGAGAGAGCAAUGACUUGCAUCGCUUUCCCACUCGUGCUUUCUUCAUCAACGAACUGGGGUUUGAAUCCCCCUUUGCCGAAGGAUGGAUAAAGAGACCCGGAUAGUGAUGAUGAUGACACAAACAAAACCGCAGAGCAGUGGCGAUGAUGCGCAUUAAAGUGCCCACUUUCGUACACUUCCGUGGGAGUCUGUGGCCUGGAAGCCAGCCUCGAACGGCCUUCAGGGCUCAGUGCAGGUGGGAACUUUGAGGCAGAGCCUCCUGUAUCCGAAAUGCUUGGGGCAGGAGGUGUCUUGGAGAUGGGACUCCAAAUCAGCAAACGUCUUUGUCUUUGGGUUGCUGUGAGUUUUCUGGCCUGUAUGGCUAUCUUUCAGAAGCAUUCUCUCCUGACCUUUCGCCCACAUCUAUAGAAGGCAUAUUCAGAGGUUGUGAGGUCUGUUGGAAACUAGGCAAGUGCGGUUUAUAUAUCUGUGGAAGGUCCAGGGUGGGAGAAAGAACUCUUGUCUGCCUGAAUGUUGUCUGCAAGUGUGAAUGUUGCAAUUGCCCACCUUGAUUAGCAUUGAAUAGCCUGGCAGCUAUGAUGAUGAUGAUGAUGAUGAUAAUUUUAUUUUUAUAUCCCUCCACCAUCUCUCCCAGCUGAGCUGCUGAACUUGCUGACUGAAAGGCCAAUGGUUCGAAUCUGGGGUGUGAGAACAAUGGCAGUAAACCGAAUGGUGAUUUUACUGUCAUCAUCUUUAUCUACACGCCAAACCACCUUUUCCCCAAAAUUGGGAAUCAUAUCGACAAAUUGAGAGUCCUCAUAGCCAAUUGCAUUCCUGCUUCCUGUCAUUCACAGUGAGAAGGAUACAACCAUCACGAGUUCCUCAUUUGAAACAGGACAGAUGUACAAACACCAGAAAAUGGUGGUGGUGAGUUGUGUGUAUGUGGAUUUACAAUAUCCACGAAAGAGUGAUACUUCUAUUGGCAAGCCAAAAUGCACAGUUGGUCAAUAAAGGUAUUGUUCUUUUGUGGAUUUUGCAUUUUGAUGCAUUUUCUAUCCUGGCCAACUCUUGUUUCCUCAGCAAGUAAUGAAUGUAGCCACUUGGUCACAAAUAUGUAAUGUUUGUGUUUUCUAUCCCCUGCCAUCAGUAAGAGGAAGCAUACAGACAUGUACAGGGUGGUUUUUUUUUUCAGAAUAGAAUGAUGGAUUUUAGCCACAACUGUUAGGUAGAUCUCCAUGAUAAAUAUCUUAACUAUGGUCCAUAUCUCAUUUGCAAAUUCAGUAAGCCUGUGUAGAGAUGACAAGAAAGCAAAUUUGGCAGCUAAUAAUACUUUAUUUAUAGACCACCCCCUCUCCUCAAGAAGACUCUAUUUGCAUUUGCAAAUAGGUCAUUUUUGGUGACAGGGGGUGAGAUGUAUUUGUGUUCAAAAAAGGACUAGACAAACAUGCACCCAAGCUGAAUUCAAGCAGAUAACUUAAAAGCAUAUUUAAGCAUUAUCCAAGACUAUUUUAUUGGGUCUUCCAAAUGAUCAAAUUAUCAGGUCUUUCACUGCAUGAUUUCAGUGGAUAGAUUCCUUUAUGCUUAAAAAAAUAAUAAUAAUGGAAGAAUACUGAUCUCCCAACCAAAAAAAAAUGGGCUUUUAAAUUUUUUGAAAUAGGAGAAAUUGAUAUUUUGAUCAAAGAGAAAUCUGCAAAUUUUUUAAAGAUUGGGAACCAUUUGUGUCCUAUAUAAAGAUGAAAGAAGGAAUAGACACACUUAUGGAAUUAGACAGUUGGUUUUAUGUUUUGAUUUACUUAUUUUUAGCAAAAGUUUAAAUUCACUUAAUAGGAAUGGGAAGUUUGUUCCUUUUAUUGAGGACUUUGGGGGGGGUGGAAAGUCAACUUUCAAUAAGUUUAGGUGUGGGAAGAGUUGUAAGUACUAGACUAGCACUAGACUAGCAAUUGUUUUGUUUGGGGGCUUGACUAUUGGUCUUUCCUCUUGUUUUUUUUUUGUUUUUGUUUCUCUUUUGAUAUUAUUGUAGCAUUUGUUUCUGUAGUUGUUAAAAUAUAAUAAAGUGCAGUUUUAAAAAAGCA